UGUCUGUGGAAUCUGUUUCCCUAACUUGGC
rnacentral:piRNA from 1 species